rnacentral:tRNA from 1 species
UCACUAAAUGACUGAAAGCAAGUAACGGUCUCUUAAACCCUGCUAUAGUAAAUUAGCGCAUACUUUUAGU